CACGGCCCGCAGGGGAUGGGGAGGACAGGCGAUGGAGACGGGGAUCAGCUGGGAGGGUGACCUGGUGAGAGAUUUUCCAGCUGGCAGAAAUGUCCUCUACCUUGAGGGAGGCGUGUGACAUGGGAGUCUUCUGCUUCCUGGAGCUUGGCCUGCCUCGGGAGGAGGAGAAAAUGGUCCAUGUCCCCAGAGAGCCCAUGAUGUGCCGGCCUAGGUGAGCACUCUUCGCACCUCGUGCCAUGGAACUUUUGCCACAGCCCUACCCAUUUUACGGAUGAGGAAAGGAGGCUCGGGAGAUGAAGCUGGCAGACUUCCUCUGGAACUUCCUCUGGACAUCUGGAGGGACGUCCUGUCAGCAGAGCAGGCUGGACUGCUUCACAAAGAGGAUGCAGCCCCGCCUCCCAGCAGGAGUCAGUUCUGCUCCGAGACGGGAGGCUCACAAUCAGAUGAAGACUCCUGCUGCUGCAUCUUGAAGAUAAUGAUGCUGUUGCUCCCGGCCGGAACCACAGCAGUGGCAAUGAGUGAACAGCCAGCAGAGUGGAGCGGCCACACUGAUACAGGUGAGGCUCCAGCACUGCCACAGCCCAGGGCCAGGCAAAACCGCCUUCCUAUCCCCCGGGAGCCGAGGCCUCUGAGAUCGGCGCUGGGAGGUCGCACAGUGCAGGCAAAUCACACGGACCUCAGAGCAGGGUCCCUGGCCGUAAGAACUCAAAAGACACAGUCUUUAAAAUAAGGACAGAAAACUGUAUUUAGUGCCACAAUAAAGCUGUGUAACAAACUACCC